GUGCUCAUUUUGGCAGAAUAUACACUAAAAUUGAAAUGAUACAGAAAAGAUUAGCAUCACCCCUGCACAAGGAUGAAGCAUUCCAUAAUUUUUAAAAAUUUUU